AUUGAACGCUGGCGGCAGGCCUAACACAUGCAAGUCGAGCGGAUGAAGGGAGCUUGCUCCUGGAUUCAGCGGCGGACGGGUGAGUAAUGCCUAGGAAUCUGCCUGGUAGUGGGGGAUAACGUCCGGAAACGGGCGCUAAUACCGCAUACGUCCUGAGGGAGAAAGUGGGGGAUCUUCGGACCUCACGCUAUCAGAUGAUCCUAGGUCGGAUUAGCUAGUUGGUGGGGUAAAGGCCUACCAAGGCGACGAUCCGUAACUGGUCUGAGAGGAUGAUCAGUCACACUGGAACUGAGACACGGUCCAGACUCCUACGGGAGGCAGCAGUGGGGAAUAUUGGACAAUGGGCGAAAGCCUGAUCCAGCCAUGCCGCGUGUGUGAAGAAGGUCUUCGGAUUGUAAAGCACUUUAAGUUGGGAGGAAGGGCAGUAAGGUAAUACCUUGCUGUUUUGACGUUACCAACAGAAUAAGCACCGGCUAACUUCGUG
rnacentral:rRNA from 1 species